UACGUAGGGCGCAAGCGUUGUCCGGAAUUAUUGGGCGUAAAGAGCUCGUAGGCGGUUUGUCGCGUCUGGUGUGAAAACUCAAGGCUCAACCUUGAGCUUGCAUCGGGUACGGGCAGACUAGAGUGUGGUAGGGGUGACUGGAAUUCCUGGUGUAGCGGUGGAAUGCGCAGAUAUCAGGAGGAACACCGGUGGCGAAGGCGGGUCUCUGGGCCGAUACUGACGCUGAGGAGCGAAAGCGUGGGGAGCGAACAGG
rnacentral:rRNA from 1 species